AUUGAACGCUGGCGGCAGGCCUAACACAUGCAAGUCGAACGAGUGGCGGACGGGUGAGUAAUGUCUGGGAAACUGCCCGAUGGAGGGGGAUAACUACUGGAAACGGUAGCUAAUACCGCGUACCAUCGGAUGUGCCCAGAUGGGAUUGGCUUGUAGGUGAGGUACCGGCUCACCUAGGCGACGAUCCCUAGCUGGUCGGAGAGGAUGACCAGCCAAACGGGAACUGAGACACGGGCCAGACUCUUACGGGAGGCAGCAGUGGGGAAUAUGGCAUAGUGGGCGCAAGACUGAUGCAUCCAGGCCGGGUGUAGGAAGAGGGCCUUCGGGUUGUAAAGUACUUUCAGCGGGGAGGCGUUACCCGCAGAAGAAGCAACGGCUAACUCCGUGCCAGCCGCCGCUGUAAUUC
rnacentral:rRNA from 1 species